GUUUAAAAAGGAUCGCUUCCCGCACAACCAACCGCAGUUGGCCGCUGAAGACGAUCAAAAAACCGCAAAAACUUGAUCCCGCGGGAGGACUCCGUUUACCCAGACAAAUCGUUCGAAAUGGAAUCAUGGGCAAACGAUACCACGCAGGAUGUCACCGUCGCACUAGAUAACCAGCGUCGAGCGGUGGGGAAGGAGGCAAAGUGAACAAAUGGAGAAAAGGAUGCAACAGUCGAGUGCACACUCUGUUCGGGGUAAGGUCUCGCGGUGAGCUACGGAUAUUCGAGAUGGUUAGAGAAUAAAGAACCGACCAAAGGAAAAAAAUAGGUUAGAUGUAACAUGUAUGAGCUGCAAUCAGGAUGCAAUCUGAUUUUGCCAUCAACGGAGUGAAGCAAUUGAAUUGAAAUCAUGUAAGGAUAUGUUGGAAAAGAUGAAAGUAAAAUGUGAAAAGGUGGUACAUGAGACAAAAUAAACAAGUUUAGUUGUACUAUGUUAUAACUUAUAAUGUAACAUACAUAUAGACUGCAAUCUGCACUUGCAAUUUGUUUGAAUUGGAACCAUAUACAUACUGACAUUCAUUUUUCAUUCUUUAUUAGUUUCGUUUAUAUUGUCUACAGUCUACAUUUUAGGAAGAGGAUUGACAUGGCAAUUUUGAUGAUAUGUAGAUGUACAGUACACAUAUUAUAUACUAUAUCAUAACAUAAAUUUGUUGUAUGGAGGUUAUCUAUGAAUAAAUUAUGAACGUUCAGGCAAA